ACCUUCCAACAGGAUAUGAGGAACUCAUGCAUCCUAACACAGACCAUGUCGGAGUGGGACUUUGGAGGUGCUGAAGGGUAGUAGGUACUGAAAGCUGUGUCUUGUAUCAGCAGGAAGAACUCUUCUGUGCAUGCCCCAGAAAACUUAACUCCACCAUCAGUCCAAAAGGUCCUACCUCCCUACCAGCGCCAUUUUGGGGCAAAAGAGCAGACAGAAUCACCAAAUGGAUAAUAAUUUAUAUCUCAUCAUUGUCCAAAAAACCCUGAACCUUAGCACGAGUUACGCAACAACACUUAUAUGAGCACCGACAGUUCCUGGUAUCAGACACAGCUGGCUGUAUGUUAACGUACGCAGAAUGAGAUGUAUGAAUCAAAUUCCCCAUGAAAAGGUCAUUGCUCUGCUGAGCCACCUUCAGCAGGAGACUCCCACCUGCGGUGUUGAUCCUCAGAUAGGCAAAGUCCCAGAUGGACCAGUAUUCCCCGAUGAACCAGUGAUGUGUAAACAGACACCCAGAUGUCACCCUCCAGGAGGUCACAGUGAGAAGCAAUACUCCUUCCUUCAUUCAAGCCAGGCACACUUUUAACCAGAGCUGCACCUUUUUCAACACAUCACAUACAUGUUUACAUCUUCCUCUCAGUCAUUUACAGCAAACUGCACCGCAGUCUGUGCCUCUGUCUGCCUUCUGGAGAUCACACUUAUCCUCAGCAGUGGAAGAAUGCUUACAACACUACAUCACCCACAAUUCAUCAUACAGACAUAAAUGCACAGGGUGCACAGAGUGGUGCAAUGGUGAGCAGUUGCUAAAAAUAGAAAGGGAAAUAAAGAAAAAAAACUUCACAGGCGGACCGUGACAUGAUAAAGCAUCGGUUCAAAGUGUUUCUCUGGGACAAAUGAGGACACCUGAUACAGCUACAGCUGCGUUUGUGUUGGUUGUAAAUCCCCAGGAGACAUCUAUGUUCUCAACACAAACAAAACAUAAAACUGUAGUUGGAUAAGUACCUCAGCCAUUCAC